GAUGAACGCUGGCGGCGUGCUUAACACAUGCAAGUCGAACGAAGCAAUCAAGAGGAAAUUUUCGGAUGGAAUCUAGAUUGACUGAGUGGCGGACGGGUGAGUAACGCGUGGGUAACCUGCCUCAUACAGGGGGAUAACAGUUAGAAAUGACUGCUAAUACCGCAUAAGACCACAGUAUCGCAUGAUACAGGGGCCAAAGCCCAGACGGUAUGAGAUGGACCCGCGUCUGAUUAGGUAGUUGGUGAGGUAACGGCUCACCAAGCCGACGAUCAGUAGCCGACCUGAGAGGGUGACCGGCCACAUUGGGACUGAGACACGGCCCAA
rnacentral:rRNA from 1 species